GAUGAACGCUGGCGGCGUGCCUAAUACAUGCAAGUCGAGCGAACAGACGAGGAGCUUGCUCCUCUGACGUUAGCGGCGGACGGGUGAGUAACACGUGGAUAACCUACCUAUCAGACUGGGAAAACUUCGGGAAACCGGAGCUAAUACCGGAUAAUAUAUUGAACCGCAUGGGUCAAUAGAGAAAGACGGCUUUGCUGUCACUUAUAGAUGGAUCCGCGCCGCAUUAGCUAGUUGGUAAGGUAACGGCUUACCAAGGCAACGAUGCGUAGCCGACCUGAGAGGGUGAUCGGCCACACUGGAACUGAGACGCGGUCCAGACUCCUACGGGAGGCAGCAGUAGGCAAUCUUCCGCAGUGGGCGAAAGCCUGGCGGAGCAGCGCCGCGUGAGUUAUGACGGUCUUCGGAUCGUACUACUCUGUUAUUAGUGAUGAACAACUGUGUAAGUAACUAUGCACGGCGUGACGGUAACUAAUCAAAAAGCCACGGCUAACUACGUG
rnacentral:rRNA from 1 species